rnacentral:rRNA from 1 species
GACGAACGCUGGCGGCGUGCUUAACACAUGCAAGUCGAACGGAAAGGCCCCUGUGUGGGUACUUGAGUGGCUAACGGGCGAGUAAGACGUGAGUAACCUGCCUGCGACUGCGGGUUAACUACAGGCAACUGGGGCUAAUACCGGAUAGGAAUCCUUUCUGCAGGGUUGGUGUGGGGAAGCUUCGGCGGUCUUGGAUGGAUGCGCUGCCUAUCCGUUUGCUGGUGGGGUAGUGGCUUACCAAGGCCUUGACGGGUAGGCGGCCUGGGAGGGCGACCGGCCACAUUGGGGCUGGGGUCCGGCCCCGACUCCUACCGGAGGCAGCCGUGGGGGAUAUUGCACCAUGGGCGGAAGCCUUGUUCAGCCAAGCCGCCUGCGGGAUGACGGCCUUCGGGUUGUAAACCGCUUUCAGCAGGGGCGGAACUUGUAGUGACGGUACCUGCAGAAGAAGCACCGGCUAACUACGUG